UGGCUCAUUAAAUCAGUUAUCGUUUAUUUGAUAGUACCUUACUACUUGGAUACCUGUGGUAAUUCUAGAGCUAAUACAUGCUAAAAACCCCAACUUCGGGAGGGGUGUAUUUAUUAGAUAAAAAACCAAUGCCCCUCGGGGCUCCUUGGUGAUUCAUAAUAACUUCUCAGAUCGCAUGGCCUUGCGCCGGCGACGGUUCAUUCAAAUUUCUGCCCUAUCAACUUUCGAUGGUAAGGUAGUGGCUUACCAUGGUUUCAACGGGUAACGGGGAAUUAGGGUUCGAUUCCGGAGAGGGAGCCGGAGGAACGGCUACCACAUCCAAGGAAGGCAGCAGGCGCGCAAAUUACCCAAUUCCGAUACGGAGAGGUAGUGACAAUAAAUACUGAUACAGGGCUCUUUUGGGUCUUGUAAUUGGAAUGAGUACAAUUUAAACCUCUUAACGAGGAACAAUUGGAGGGCAAGUCUGGUGCCAGCAGCCGCGGUAAUUCCAGCUCCAAUAGCGUAUAUUAAAGUUGUUGCAGUUAAAAAGCUCGUAGUUGAACCUUUGGCCUGGCUGGCAGGUCCGCCUCACCGCGUGCACUUGUCCGGCCGGGCCUUUUCUUCUGGGCAACCGCAUGCCCUUCACUGGGUGUGUUGGGGACCAGGACUUUUACUUUGAAAAAAUUAGAGUGUUCAAAGCAGGCCUUUGCUCGAAUACGUUAGCAUGGAAUAAUAGAAUAGGACGUGCGGUCCUAUUUUGUUGGUUUCUAGGACCGCCGUAAUGAUUAAUAGGGACAGUCGGGGGCAUCAGUAUUCAAUUGUCAGAGGUGAAAUUCUUGGAUUUAUUGAAGACUAACUACUGCGAAAGCAUUUGCCAAGGAUGUUUUCAUUAAUCAGUGAACGAAAGUUAGGGGAUCGAAGACGAUCAGAUACCGUCGUAGUCUUAACCAUAAACUAUGCCGACUAGGGAUCGGGCGGUGUUUCUAUUGUGACCCGCUCGGCACCUUACGAGAAAUCAAAGUGUUUGGGU
rnacentral:rRNA from 1 species